UUGCAGAAACCCUGUGUAUGGAUCCUUAACACUUUUUUUUUCCCCCUCUUUUUUCUGAGGUACCUAAAAUAAUAGCUUUUUAGACAGUGUUACAGUCAUAUAACUUGUUGGGAAAAACACACUAUGGCUCGCAGUCUGAAUUAAACAUGUGUCAUUCUAGAAACCUGAUAUUUUGGACCAGAUCCCUCUCUGAACAGGUUGUAUCCUGCCCUUUUCAAAAUCAAGCUAUCAGAAGAUGCCCUUCAGCAGAAGUGUUAAGAGGACUUGGUGAGCUUAACAUGUUUCGCCUGCUUAAUUUAAUUUGAAAAAAUUCAACCAGAAAAUGAAGUUAUUAACAGGUACUCCUCACUGUAUUGUAAUUAUACAUGAUGUUAUAUAUUAAAGAUAUGUACUUGUGCAUCCAGUCAUCUCUCCUCCUGUGAAUCCAUCAGCAAUCCAUAUUUACUGAAAAAUU